GACGCAUCAGCCGAUAACUCAACAGUAGCUGUAAUUGCAGUUCUUGCAACACUCUUGGUUGUAGUUUCUACAGCGUCUAGCAUCUUCAAGUUGAAGAAACUCGUAAAGAAAAUACGUUCUACUGACAGGCAACCAGAGCAGUCUAUGGUCCAAAUUAACUUUGACAAUUUAAUGGUAGAAGAACAAACUACACACAAUGAAUGCAACACUAAUGUUUCUGAUGAUGAAAACGUCGCUUAUGAAAUUCUCGAUAGAACCCAAGCCCCAGAACACACGUAUGACACAGCUCCCGAAAGUAUGGGCAAUGUGAGAAACGUAGAAUAUGAGAACUUGCAUUUCUAAACAACUGGACAUUCUACUAUAUAUCUGUGACUGUGUUAAACACCUAGGGACGUCAGGCAAAUAAAAAAAAAACAUGCUUUCUUUGCUUUUUUUAUAUUCUAAUGUUGAUAAUUCUUAUAACAUGGAAAUGGACUUUUGUCCAUUUUUAAUGAUUUCACAAAUGUAUGUAAUACUAUCAGAAUCGAUAUACAGGAUAUAACAUAUUGUACUAUGGAAAUGUAAUUGCAGAAUGGAUAUACGUGUACAUAUGUACAUACGGAAAAAUGUUGGAUAAAUGUAAACGUUUUGCUAUCAGUGAUAUAGAUUCAUUGCCGGUAUAUAAAUUGAUAAUAGUUACUGUACGUGAAACCUAACUUGGUUUAGGAUGUUAUCAUGGUGAGGAGCCAGCUGUGUUCUGAACAGCAUCGACUUGAUUUCAAACAUGCGGAAAGAUAAACACCCAAAUUGAGUAUGAAUACGAUUUCUGAAACUUGAUUCGUCUCGUUAUAAAUACUGAUUUAGUAGCUAAUAGACAUUUUUAAUAUUUGCAUUAUUAUGUCUCCCCCAGGAGACAUAUUGUUUUUGCCCUGUCUGUCCGUCCGUCCUUCCGUCCGUCCGUCCGUCCGUACGUCACACUUCAUUUCCGAGCAAUAACUGGAGAACCAUUUGACCUAGAACCUUCAAACUUCAUAGAGUUGUAGGGCUGCUGGAGUAGACGACCUCUAUAGUUUUUGGGGUCACUCCGUCAAAGGUCAAGGUCACAGGGGCCUGAACAUUGAAAACCAUUUCCGAUCAAUAACUAGAGAACCACUUGACCCAGAAUGUUGAAACUUCAUAGGAUGAUUGGUCAUGAAGAGUAAAUGUCCCCUAUUGAUUUUAGGGUCACUCCAUCAAAGGUCAAGGUCACAGGAGCCUGAACAUGGAAAACCAUUUCCGAUCAAUAACUAGAGAACCACUUGACCCAGAAUGUUGAAACUUCAUAGAAUGAUUGUACAUGCAAAGUAGAUGAUCUCUAUCGAUUUUGGGGUCACUCCAUUAAAGGUCAAGGUCACAGGGGCCUGAACAUUGAAAACCAUUUCCGGUCAGUAACUUGAGAACCACUUGACCCAGAAUGUUGAAACUUCAUAGGAUGAUUGUUCAUGCAGAGUAAAUGACUUCUAACGAUUUUGGGGUCACUUUGUGAAAGGUCAAGGUCACAGGGGCCUGAACAUUGAUAACCAGUUCCGAUCAAUAACUUGAGAACCACUUGACCCAGAAUGUUGAAACUUCAUAGGAUGGUUGAACAUGCAGAGUAGAUGACUUCUAUUGAUUUUGGGGUCAGUCUAUUAAAAGUCAAGGUCAUAGUGGCCUGUUCAUGUAAAAUCAUUUUUUGGAAAUAACUUGAGAACCACUUGACCUACAAUGUUGAAACUUAAUAGGAUGAUUGGGCAUGCAGAGUAGAUGACCCCUAUUUAUUUUGAGGUCAUUUGAUCAAAGGUCAAGGUCACAGGAGCCUGAACAGUGACUUGAGAACCACUAGGCCAAGAGUGUCGAAAUUUAGCGGGAUGACUUGACAUGCCAAGUAGAUGAUCCCUAUUGCAGCCAUCAGUGUCUCUUUGACUUUCGCUCCUGACCCCUAUUGACUUCUUGCCUAUAGGACUUUGCAUUGGGGGAGACAUGCGCUUUUUUACAAAAGCAUUUUCUAGUUUACGUCUGAAACAAAAUCAUUUUUGUGAAAAUUCUUUUUUAAGGAAUAAUAAGGUGUACAAGUAGCUAGUGGCUUAGCUCCCGUUUGAUACAUAUCAGUUUGUUUAAAUAAUAACGCUACAAACUUCAUUGACUUCUGAUUCUACUAUGUAGGCUUUCAGUGUUUAUACACAUGUCUUCACUCCGUACAAUAACGAACAAAAUUUCGAGUAUUACGUAACGUUACAGUAAAUUUUGGAACUAAAGAUCUUUGUCCGGCAAAACUUCAACAGGAUAGCUUUUAGCCUUAUUAUUGCCUAAAUAAUAACUACAUAUACGUAAUCAUAUAACUAACGCACACAAGGUAUUGUACAUAUCGAUUAAGGUAGUUUUGUGGUUUGAAUUUAAUUAACUACUGGUUAUUAUUUAAGGCAAUGACGUUUUUAACGUUUUAAAGCAUUUUGUAUCGGUUUUAUUUACUUUUAAAUUAACUGGAUUUUAGGUUGGCUGCAGUAAAACUGAACAAUGUUUGAUAUUAGCUUUGACAUACAUUUGACAGAAAACAAAAAGAAGAUUUUUUUAUCGAAUGAUUUAGUAUACAACCAAAAUCAGUUAGAAGCUUGUAAAAAGAAUAUAUGAGCUGCUCCAUGAGAAAACCAACAUAGUGGCUUUGCUUUGCGACCAGCAUGGUUCCAGACCAGCCUGCGCAUCCGGAUCCAUGCUGUCCGCUUUCAAAGCCUAUAUCAGUUAGAGAACCCGUUGGCGAACAGCAUGGAUCCUGACCAGACUGCGCGGAUGGUCGCAAACCAACUAUGUUGGUUUUCUCAUUGCGUGGCUCAUAUGUUUUCUUUGUUUUACUUAAUUUGUCAUAACACUCUUACCAACAACAGUUGUAUCACAAUUUAUGGCACAAUAUUGCAUUCAAGUCAGUAGUUUAUACUUAGAGAUAUCCUUUGAUUUAUUGACAUAUUAUUUACUGGUUGUUAUCUUGUAAAAUGCGGUAAGGCUUUGUCAAGGUAAAUGCAUUUCAUGCAUCUUAUGUAUAACUUAAUCUUUAACUUGCUCAUGAAUAAUUAACACACUUUGAUGUACGGAUUUUAUAGCACAUGCAGCGAUUUCACAGGUGUGUUUGCUCGCUCUCAGAACUCGCUCACAAAUGCAUACCCUCACACAUACAUGCACACUUACAUUAACGAACUCUCAUAAAUAGCAAAAACACAUGCAUUUACAGACGCAUUUGUAUACAUAUCUUCAAUCACUCCUUCAUACGAUCCUCACAUCGCAAUGUACUACAAUUCUGAUGUAAAAUUAUGUCUCCAGCAAACUUUCGAUAAACAGCUUUCAAUCACAUUUCAGUGUUUCCUAAAAUAGUCUUAAGAUAUACUUAAUGUAACAUUUUUUUUAAUCGGAAUAUUGUUAUUUUGACAUAGUAUGUUUUAGAGUAUAAUGUAGAAUCUUUAAGAUCUUUAUAGAAUAACCUUCUGCCUGUAUAUUAUAUUAUAUUGUUGGUUGUAUAAUUGCAAUUAUAUAAAUUAAUCUAA